CACUUGGCUACGAACUAAGGGGUCGGGAGUUCGAAUCUCUCUGAGCGCACCA
rnacentral:tRNA from 1 species